ensembl:lncRNA
GGGCGGAGCGCUGAGGUGGCGGUGCUGCUGGGCUUGUUUGUUCUUUCGUCUGUCCGUUCUCCCUUCGUAACAAGCCGCGGGUUCUGGGUUAGGGGUUCCUUGGGGGCGCUCGCCUUCCACAGAGCGAGCCUGAGGCACCCGCUGCCUUUCUGCUCUACUGGCUCGGUCCUUUACGGUGUUGCCUUGUAUGUGUGGCUUUGUCUCCUGUUGACUCCCGCGGUGACCUGCUGGUCGCAGGCAGGCUGCACGUACAAAAACGCACCUCACACGUGUGCCACGCUUUGUUUCUAAGCAGUCCUGGUGUCCGGAAAGCUCCAUUUGCUUCAGUGUAAGCAACGUGGUCUAGCAUGAAGUACUCCUGUCCAUAGCAGGGGUUGCAACUGGUGGUCUUCAAGUCCCCCCCAGCCCAAACGAGAGAGGAGGCUCAGGGGAGGUCUUAACACUCUCUAUGAAGACCUGAGAGGAGGUCGUUUCAAGCUGGGGAUUGCCCUCUUCUCCCAGCAGAAAAGGACAGCUGUUUACUGUGACCUCUGUCCAGCAAAGGCCCCCAUACUUAGCAAGAGUUAACUCCUCCUUGUUAUGAGGAGUAAAAUGUGAGAAAAGUCAAGAAGUGUAAAUCUUCAAAGGAUAAUGUGCAGUUAGAUGCCAUUUGGCGUGAUGAAGAAUAUCACACUGCAGCCCGGAGAGGCAGUGACAUUAUUCAGGAAGCCUUGAGAAUCAAUAUUUCCUGUCUCCUACUCCUGUGCUGCCUUUACGGAUAGACAAGACACUUUUAACAAUUGCCCUGCCUGAAGCUCAGCUGCACAGUCCACCAGGCUGCUUGCAUAAGACACCUUCCUUGGUGCCAUCCAUCCUCUGUGUUCAGGCCCGUUUUGGUACAGAAACGUAUUGAGACAGUCUGCAAUCCAU